rnacentral:lncRNA from 1 species
GUGGAAGAGGACAGAGUUAGUUUCCUGGGAUUUGGAAGGUGUGGUGAGCGCGAUGGCUUUUCACCCUAGCGCGGAUGAGACGCUGUCGAUACGGCAUGGAUUCAGGUGUGUUCCUGAGAAUGGAGUUAAAGUGGAGGAAGUUAGUCAGUGAACAGGUAGGAGCUGAAUUUAUACAUUCCGCUUCCAGAAUGAACAAAGCUGUGGUUGUGUUCAUGAAAAGAGCAAAUUUGGUUGGUAGGCUAAUUGCUAGUGGAAUAUUUGUAAGGGAUGUGUUGGUGCCAGUUUCACCUCUCUCUACCCCUUCGACAAGGGUGGUAGUUGCAAAUUUGCCUCCGUUUAUUACGGAUGAUCAAAUCAGGAAAGAGCUGAGUGGUUUUGGUAAGUUUGCUAGUGGGUUUCGUGUACUGUCGGCAGGUUUUCAGACAGAUGCCGUUAAGCACGUUGUUUCAUUCUGGAGGCAAGUGUUUAUGUUUCUGAACAACAAUGAGCAACAGCUAAAUGUGCAUUUUAAAGUGAGGCAUGGGGAGGGGCUCUAUGCAGGGUUUGCCAGCACAGAUAGUCUACGGUGUUUUGAGUGUGGGGAUUUGGGGCAUAAGAGCUUUGUGUGCCCACAUAAAGGGCAUAGACAAGGUGAGGGUACAAGCGCCCCCGGUGGGGGAAAUCGAGGUCAACGUGAAGGGGACAAUGAGACGCAGGUAGCAGAGGCUGGGCAUAGUCAUGCCAGUGAUGGUGGUGUAGAUGAGUCUGGGCCUAGUCAUGCCAUGGAUGGUGGUGUAGAUGAGGCUGGGUCUAGUCAUGCUAUGGAUGGCGGUGUAGAUGAGGCUGGGUCUAGUCAGGUGAUGGAUGGUGGUGUAGAUGAGGCUGGGUCUAGUCAUGCUACAGAUGGCGGUGUAGAUGAGGCUGGGUCUAGUCAGGCUAUAGAUGGUGGUGUAGAUGAGGCUGGGUCUAGUCAGGCUAGAGAUGGUGGUGUAGAUGAGGCUGGGUCUAGUCAGGUUAUAGAUGGUGGUGUAGAUGAUGCUGGGUCUAGUCAUGCCAUGGAUGGUGGUGUAGAUGAGGCUGGGUCUAGUCAGGUUAUGGAUGGUGGUGUAGAUGAGGCUGGGUCUAGUCAGGCUAGAGAUGGUGGUGUAGAUGAGGCUGGGUCUAGUCAGGUUAUGGAUGGUGGUGUAGAUGAGGCUGGGUCUAGUCAUGCUACAGAUGGUGGUGUAGAUUAGGCUGGGUCUAGUCAUGCCAUGGAUGGUGGUGUAGAUGAGGCUGGGUCUAGUCAUGCUACAGAUGGUGGUGUAGAUGAGGCUGGGUCUAGUCAUGCUAGAGAUGGUGGUGUAGAUGAGGCUGGGUUUAGUCAUGUUAUAGAUGGUGGUGUAGAUGAGGCUGGGUCUAGUCAGGUUAUAGAUGGUGGUGUAGAUGAUGCUGGGUCUAGUCAUGCUAGAGAUGGUGGUAUAGAUGAGGCUGGGUCUAGUCAGGUUAUAGAUGGUGGUGUAGAUGAGGCUGGGUCUAGUCAUGCUAGAGAUGGUGGUGUAGAUGAGGCUGGGUUUAGUCAUGUUAUAGAUGGUGGUGUAGAUGAGGCUGGGUCUAGUCAGGUUAUAGAUGGUGGUGUAGAUGAUGCUGGGUCUAGUCAUGCCAUGGAUGGUAGUGUAGAUGACGCUGGGUCUAGUCAGGUUAUAGAUGGUGGUGUAGAUGAUGCUGGGUCUAGUCAUGCCAUGGAUGGUAGUGUAGAUGAGGCUGGGUCUAGUCAGGUUAUAGAUGGUGGUGUAGAUGAUGCUGGGUCUAGUCAUGCCAUGGAUGGUAGUGUAGAUGAGGCUGGGUCUAGUCAGGUUAUAGAUGGUGGUGUAGAUGAGGCUGGGUCUAGUCAGGUUAUAGAUGGUGGUGUAGAUGAGGCUGGGUCUAGUCAGGUUAUGGAUGGUGGUGUAGAUGAGGCUGGGUCUAGUCAGGUUAUGGAUGGUAGUGUAGAUGAGGCUGGGUCUAGUCAGGUUAUGGAUGGUAGUGUAGAUGAGGCUGGGUCUAGUCAGGUUAUGGAUGGUGGUGUAGAUGAGACUGGGUCUAGUCAGGUUAUGGAUGGUGGUGUAGAUGAGGCUGGGUCUAGUCAGGUUAUGGAUGUAGUGUAGAUGAGGCUGGGUCUAGUCAGGUUAUAGAUGGUGGUGUAGAUGAUGCUGGGUCUAGUCAGGUUAUGCUAGUGGAUGAGGAGAGUAUAGUGGGGAAGUGUAAGAAACUAGGGGGGAGGAGGAGGGUGUCAAGAGAAAAAGGGUGUGGUCAAAGGCACCAUGGAACCUUUGCCUGGUGCUGGGGGAGGCCCUGACUAGAGAGGAAGGGCAGGUGGUCAGGAUUGGAGAUGGAGAUGAGGAGGAGGAAAGUGAGUCUGAGGAAGAGGAUGAUGAGGAGGCCUUUUCUUCAGACUCCUCUUCAAUGGGUCCGGAGCUGACAGCCAGUCAAGCAGAGGGGUCAAAGUAUACGGUGAGAGAACUGACAAGGUUCCUGAAUGAGACCAAGGUGGAAAAAGUUAAUCUUGAGGAUUUUUUUUCUGAUCCGAGAAAGUUUGUAAGAUCAGUACAACAUGCUAUGACAAAUGAGGGGCAUGGUGUCCUCUCACCCAGGAAACGGUUUAG